UGCAUGCUGAAUGAUUUGGAGAGCAGCCGUAUCUUUAGCUUUGAGUGGCUUCAGACCAGAACUCGUAAUUCUGGCCAUCAAAGACUGCAAUAAGAUGAGAUGAUUGCAGGUUUAUCGCCAUCUCUGUUUUCUUCUUCUUCUUUUCAGGGCAAAUCGAAGACUCAUCCCUCAACAUUGUUCCUGGUUUCUCCAUGCAGAAAUACUACAACCCGCAAACUCGUCUAGACUCCUUGGUGGUGUCCCCAAUAUCCAUGGCAAGUGCUGACCAGAGAGCACGUCGUGCUUGUACAACAGGGCCUGGCAAAUGUUUCAGGCUAUACACACAGGAAAUUUACAGUGGAUUAAUAGCGCUGGCGGUUCUUGAGAUGUAUAGAGUAAACCUCGUAAACACAGUUCUCGCCUUGAAAAGGCUGGGUGUGAAGGACUUGUUAUCCUUGAAAUUUAUGUAUCCUCCUUCCCAGAAGACCCUCCUUCGGGCCUUGACGGAUUUGUUUGACCUGGGAGCAGUGGACGAUGAAGGUAACUUGACAAAGAAUAGGCGAGAUGAUGAGUCUGGAGAUUUAAUCGAGAUGUUAGCCCUUUCGAAUGUACUAUUGUUCCUAAUUUUCUGAUAUUAGAUACUUAAAGCUGAUUUAAUCGAGAUGUGAGCCCCUUGAAUGUACUAUUGUUCCUAUUUUUCUGAUAUUAGAUACUUACUUAACUUCAUUAUGUAUUUAAUUUUAACUACAAAUUAUAAAUAA